GACUACAUGAAGCUGGAAUCGCUAGUAAUCGCGGAUCAGAAUGCCGCGGUGAAUACGUUCCCGGGUCUUGUACACACCGCCCGUCACACCAUGGGAGUCGGAAAUGCCCGAAGUCUGUGACCCAACCUUAGGGAGGGAGCAGCCGAAGGCAGGUCGGAUGACUGGGGUGAAGUCGUAACAAGGUAUC
rnacentral:rRNA from 1 species